rnacentral:lncRNA from 1 species
AUCAAAUCAGGCAGGAAUGCAACCACAUCAGUCACCUGGAAGGAACGCAGGCAUCCGCAGAGGAGGGGGUGAGGUGUGGAGUCUCUGCCCGAACAUCGGUUAAGUGCUUCUAGAGGCCACCUAUUUUCCUUGACUCAUGGCUCCUUCCUCUGUCUUCAAAGCUUGCAAUGGCCAGUUGAGUCUUUCACACCUCGUACGACUCUGACUCACAUUCUUCUGCCAUCUUUUUCCAUUUACAAGGACACUUGUGAUUACAUCUGUCUAUUGGGAAAAUCCAGGGUCACUUCCCCAUCUCAAGGUCAGCUGCAUCGAACACCCGGGGCUGGCUCAAUUCCUUUCUACACCUGCCAAGAAAAUCUAAGUGGAUAAUGAUGCUGACCAAUCAAUGGGCCGUGGGCAACACAGGAAAUCAGUGGGCCCGCAAAAAGCUGGGCACCACGUGUUACGGUUGGGAAAUGAAUCUUCAGUGACAGAGCCCACAGAGGAAAACACCCAAACCUGACCCUCCCUUUAACCUUGCGAGCGCUAUCACUCAGCCAGAUACCACCACUGUUUCCCGAGGACUAAGAGAGAUGGCUCUUUGCCUGGUGGAGCUGUGAGGAAGAUGAUGGGAAACGGGCAUGCUGGCAUCGGAGUUUUUCUGGAUUGGAAAAAGAGGAUUUUACUUUUCAGCACCUGCCAGCAUGAUAGGUUUGCCAAGAAUUCUACACUAAACAAACACACACGCCUACAUCACCCCUCCUCCCAAGCAGGCAUAACCCACUGGGGAAGGAAACAGCUCAGGAAGGCGGAUGGCAGGGGUUCGUGAACCUUGCUAGUUUCCAGGGCACGAUCCAUUUUAAUCUCCGCCAGAGGACUUAAAAAUCUAUUCUGUCAAUAUCUCCCUUAUUAGUAAAGUUUGGGUCCCAAAGCAAGAAAACUAAGGCUUAAUUUUGACUUAGAAGAUUGUUGUUGUUGUUUUAUUAUAAGUUUUGAUUAUGUAGUAUGUGUGUGUAUAUAUGUUAUUCACUACAUACAUAUUUAUGUAUUUUUAAUAUAUUUUAUAUUUUAAUAUAACAUAUAAUACAUAUUAUAUAUUAUAUAAUAUGUAAUUAUAUAUUAAAAUAUAUAAUUAUACAUAUAUUUUAAUACAUAAAGUAUAUUUUAAUGUAUAUAUAAAUUAUACACAUGUAUAUUCAAAUGUGUAUAUCAAUAUUUAUGUAUAUAUUUAGAUUUGAAAGCCUUGGGGGACAUGUAGGUCCAUAUCCUCUUGUAGAUAUCGUAGUGGGAUCCUGGCUUUUGGUUAUCGUCUCCCCCAAGUCUCCUAUUCCCUUUCCGUCCCAUUUUUUUCUUGCAAAGAACAAGCAAUGACUGAGGCUUUCAUAGCCAUUGUCACAGAAUAGGUCCUGUGGGGAGUUGAUUUGUAAAAAGUUCCUGGACCAAAAUAAAGGUGGUGACCAAAAUGAAGUCAUCUCUGCCACCUCCCAGUGGGUAUCGAUGUGGAAACGGUAACUUGAAUCUGAAGCUUCUUUGUGCCCAGCCCCACUGUGCUGAUGAGAGCAGACAGGGUGGGAGAGAAAGGGGCACACAGAGUGGACAUGUGGAUGCCGUUCCUCAAGCCCUUGAAGAAACCAAGAGUUGGCCGCAGCCCUGACCCAGAGUUCUGGGAGAUGGGUCCGUGGUAACCCCGCAAGGGAGAAGAGGGCAAGAAGGCCAGGAUUCCCAGGGCUCAUCCAGAACAGCCCAUCCGUCCAGAUGGGUAUCCUUGAUUCCAGUACCUUCCCUGCUCACACAUCUCUUUCAUCCAUUCAUUGUACCACUCUGAAGUGUAGAAUAUGCAAAAGAGAGAAUAAAAUCAUAUCAUCGCCACAUGUAGUUUGCUGUGUCAUGCUUAUCCUGGUGGAU